GACGAACGCUGGCGGCGUGCUUAACACAUGCAAGUCGAACGGAAAGGCCCUGCUUUUGUGGGGUGCUCGAGUGGCGAACGGGUGAGUAACACGUGAGUAACCUGCCCUUGACUUUGGGAUAACUUCAGGAAACUGGGGCUAAUACCGGAUAGGAGCUCCUGCUGCAUGGUGGGGGUUGGAAAGUUUCGGCGGUUGGGGAUGGACUCGCGGCUUAUCAGCUUGUUGGUGGGGUAGUGGCUUACCAAGGCUGUGACGGGUAGCCGGCCUGAGAGGGUGACCGGCCACAUUGGGACCGAGAUAGGGCCCAGACUCCUACGGGAGGCAGCGGUGGGGAAUAUUGCACAAUGAGCGGAAGCCUGAUGCAGCAACGCAGCGUGCGGGAUGACAGCCUUCGGGUUGUAAACCGCUUUCGCCUGUGACGAAGCGUGAGUGACGGUAAUCGGUAAAGAAGCACCGGCUAACUACGUG
rnacentral:rRNA from 1 species